rnacentral:rRNA from 1 species
AGGAUAAACGCUGGCGGCGUGCCUAAUACAUGCAAGUCGAGCGGUAAGGCCCCUUCGGGGGUACACGAGCGGCGGACGGCUGAGUAACACGUAGGAACGUACCCCAAACUGAGGGAUAAGCACCAGAAAUGGUGUCUAAUACCGCAUGUGAUCUUCGGAUUAAAGCUUCGGCGGUUUGGGAACGGCCUGCGCAUGAUUAGCUUGUUGGUGAGGUAAAAGCUCACCAAGGCGACGAUCAUUAGCUGGUCUGGGAGGAUGAUCAGCCAGACUGGGACUGAGAACGGCCCAGACUCCUACGGGAGGCAGCAGUAGGGAAUUUUCCACAAUGGGCGAAAGCCUGAUGGAGCAACGCCGCGUGCAGGACGAAGGCUUUCGGGUCGUAAACUGCUUUUAUAUGUGACGAUUAUGACGGUAGCAUAUGAAUAAGGAUCGGCUAACUCCGUGCCAGCAGCCGC